rnacentral:rRNA from 1 species
ACUCAAAGGAAUAGACGGGGGCCCGCACAAGCAGUGGAGUAUGUGGUUUAAUUCGAAGCAACGCGAAGAACCUUACCAGGGCUUGACAUGUAGAUGAAUACUUAAGAGAUUAAGUAGUCCUUUGGGACAUCUACACAGGUGGUGCAUGGUUGUCGUCAGCUCGUGUCGUGAGAUGUUGGGUUAAGUCCCGCAACGAGCGCAACCCCUGUGAUUAGUUGAUAACACGUAGAGGUGAUAACUUUAAUCAGACUGCCGUAGAUAAUACGGAGGAAGGUGGGGACGACGUCAAAUCAUCAUGCCCUAUAUGUCCUGGGCAACACACGUACUACAAUGGUAGCAACAGAGAGAAGCGAAGUAGAGAUAUGGAGCAAAACUUAGAAAAGCUAUCACAGUUCGGAUUGCAGGCUGAAACUCGCCUGCAUGAAGCCGGAAUUGCUAGUAAUGGCAGGUCAGCAUACUGCCGUGAAUACGUUCCCGGGCCUUGCACACACCGCCCGU